UACAGGGGGGGCAAGCGUUGUUCGGAAUUACUGGGCGUAAAGGGCUCGUAGGUGGCCAACUAAGUCAGACGUGAAAUCCCUCAGCUUAACUGGGGAACUGCGUCUGAUACUGGAUGGCUUGAGUUUGGGAGAGGGAUGCGGAAUUCCAGGUGUAGGGGUGAAAUGCGUAGAUAUCUGGAGGAACACCGGUGGCGAAGGCGGCAUCCUGGACCAAUACUGACACUGAGGAGCGAAAGCCAGGGGAGCAAACGGG
rnacentral:rRNA from 1 species